GGCCCAGUGGUGUACCGGUAACACGUCCUCUCUUCAUGUAUGUAUUGCUGCUACCUGUUGGAGGCAGUACCCUGUUCGAUUCGGGGCUGGGCUG